GGUCAGCGCGGAUGUUGCACUCGGUGCCGGCGGUUUACGACCAUCAGCAGCAUUAUAGCAAUAUGUGCCGGAAGUGAUGACGGGACAGUGUGGGAUGUCCUGAGGGUUCGCAGUCCAUUUCUCGUUGCGGGACAUGUUUGACGAUUAUUACCUAAACAUCCAGAAGAACAGUUUGCACCAAUUCUGGAUGGACCGUCUGUACGAAAGCCGCAAGUCCUGGAGUUGACGUACUCGGAUUACUUCCAGAGGUUGGAGCGAGAUCCGACGAACCUGAUCAAGAACAUCUACCUGGAAUACCGCAACUACCGCCCACAAACGCAGCUUCGGCGGGAUGAACUUUGACGGCGAGUUGGAACAUCUGUGUCAUUCUCGAAGGAGGACGAAGUGAUCGGGAACUAUCCCUUCAGGCGCUUUACUUCCCAGCCGGAAAACGUCGACUUCCCUUCCCGAAUCAACAACCAAUGGCCAACUCCUCCAAGCCUGUCCUGAUGAUGGCCGGCAACGAGACCACCCUGUUCUCUUCAACGCUGUCGCGCUCCAAGAUGAAGGCCGCGAUGUUGCUGCCCAACGAAACGUCCAUCCGUAACCUGCUCAGCAUGGGGCUCACGGACGUGACCGGUGGCGUACCGUAAGAAUCGGUUCAGCUUGGACGCGGAAGUUAGCCUACCAUAAGCAGAUGCGUUGAAUACAAAAAAAACGGAAGCAACUGUUUUAAUAUUAAAACAUUAAAAUAAAAUCCAUCACAUUUUUCGAAAAUCA